AUGGAGACCAUGAGUCAUCUCGCUCACAGUUUUGUGUCAAGAGUCAGAAGAAUAAAGUCUGACACAUGCCGCUAUAGGAAAUCGUCACGUGUGUGCAGGCAAAAGCUUGGAAGGGAACUUCACGUGCUUCUUGCUUUCGUGUCUAAGAAACUAAGGCAACCAGGACUCGCCGGAAAAUCAGCAAGUCGUCUGCAAGCACAGCACAGUCCCAAAGUCACAAGGCCCAAAAUUGUCACUCUGUCACGGCACAGGGCGAUAGAUGGCUGAGCUCCACCAGACACCGGUCUCUACCACUCAUUUUCUUCACAUCUUGGAGAAAUCGAAGCUCCCCUGCUUCAAGUCAUUAAGAGAAAUACUAGGAAACCUUUUAAAAGAACAACAUCCAUUCUACUGCUGUAACAGCUUGAAGCGCUUUUCACUCCAUGUUAAAAUUAAUCUGAACGAAAAGGGUUGAGUUUGGUGUGGCCCUUCCGCAGGGGCUUCUAUGCAGGGGUGUGUGGGGGGGAGAAGGGCUUAAAAAUCUCCUUCUGAUUUUGUUCUUGAACUUUCCAACAGGGUCAGCAGUAGUCGUUAGAGACUUCCCUAUCACCUUCCAACUAAGCACUGCUUUCUCGCGUGGAGGCUGGCUGUGUGUCUGAGUGCUGUGCGGGGGCUCGCCUGCAGGGGGCGCCCUAGCUCACACAUGAGGAAACACCUCAGCAAAGUCAGCAGCAGCGCCGGGAUCACCACCUGGAAUCACAGUCUUCUUAUGUUCCGCCUACUGCAACGUGCCUUCCCCUUGGGCGCAGUAGAUGUGAAACCAUAGGAGCAAGUUUUUAGUCACACUUUAAAUUGAUAUCCCCAAGACGGAGCCACAACUUUUUUUUCAAGAUCCCCGAUACAAAGCAUGUCUUAGGGUGCAUCUUUAUGCCUGAACCUCUUACAGUUUGUGAGUCCAUUCACUACCCCUUACAGUAGUGUCUCUCAACUUCCCUAAUCCUCUGAGCCCUUUAAUUCAGUUCCUUGUGUUGUGGUGAGCCCCCAACCAUAAGAGCUAUUAAAGUAAUUCUCUCCAAGCCCAAAGUUGCUCACUUGUAAGGGAAGUGGUCCCGGUACCUGGUCACAUCAGGGGAUGAUUCUUCAUGGAUGUCUCAAGUUCCUGUGUGUGAGGACAGCAGAGGCCGGACUGCCUCUGCCUGCCCUAUGUGGUAAAUAAAUAGCCUUGGGAAUAGUGGCUGUGUCUCCCU
rnacentral:lncRNA from 1 species